rnacentral:rRNA from 1 species
UACGGAGGGAGCUAGCGUUGUUCGGAAUUACUGGGCGUAAAGCGCACGUAGGCGGCUUUGUAAGUUAGAGGUGAAAGCCCGGAGCUCAACUCCGGAAUUGCCUUUAAGACUGCAUCGCUUGAAUCCAGGAGAGGUGAGUGGAAUUCCGAGUGUAGAGGUGAAAUUCGUAGAUAUUCGGAAGAACACCAGUGGCGAAGGCGGCUCACUGGACUGGUAUUGACGCUGAGGUGCGAGAGCGUGGGGAGCAAACAGG